rnacentral:rRNA from 1 species
UACAGAGGUCUCAAGCGUUGUUCGGAAUCACUGGGCGUAAAGGGUGCGUAGGCCGCACGGCAAGUCAGAUGUGAAAGCCCGGAGCUCAACUCCGGAAUGGCAUCCGAUACUGCCGUGCUCGAGGACUGGAGAGGAGUCUGGAAUUCACAGUGGAGCAGUGAAAUGCGUAGAUAUUGUGAGGAACACUAGUGGCGAAGGCGAGACUCUGGACAGUUCCUGACGCUGAGGCACGAAGGCCAGGGGAGCAAACGGG